rnacentral:rRNA from 1 species
AUUGAACGCUGGCGGCAGGCCUAACACAUGCAAGUCGAACGGUAACAGGAAGAAGCUUGCUUCUUUGCUGACGAGUGGCGGACGGGUGAGUAAUGUCUGGGAAACUGCCUGAUGGAGGGGGAUAACUACUGGAAACGGUAGCUAAUACCGCGUAAUGUCGCAAGACCAAAGAGGGGGACCUUCGGGCCUCUUGCCAUCGGAUGUGCCCAGAUGGGAUUAGCUAGUAGGUGGGGUAACGGCUCACCUAGGCGACGAUCCCUAGCUGGUCUGAGAGGAUGACCAGCCACACUGGAACUGAGACACGGUCCAGACUCCUACGGGAGGCAGCAGUGGGGAAUAUUGCACAAUGGGCGCAAGCCUGAUGCAGCUAUGCCGCGUGUAUGAAGAAGGCCUUCGGGUUGUAAAGUACUUUCAGCGGGGAGGAAGGGAGUAAAGUUAAUACCUUUGCUCAUUGACGUUACCCGCAGAAGAAGCACCGGCUAACUCCGUG